rnacentral:rRNA from 1 species
CACGGGGUUGCGAGCAUUGUCCGGAAUUACUAGGCGUAAAGGGCAGGCAGGCGGAUCCAUAAGUUUAUCGUUUAAGGCGUCGGCUUAACCGGCGUAGGGCGCUAGAUACUGUGGAUCUGGAAUGCGGUUGGGGAAGACAGAAUUCCUGGUGUAGCGGUGGAAUGCGCAGAGAUCAGGAGGAAUACCGAAGGCGAAGGCAGUCUUCCAAGCCGUUAUUGACGCUCAACUGCGAAGGUGUGGGUAUCAAACAGGAUUAGAUACCCCCGUAGUCCCU